CUGAAACAAAUAUGAAUACCAGAACUGUAGAUAUAGAGUGUCAUAGUUUAGGUUUCCUGAGAGCAGACCCCAAAACAAUGAUCCAAGUGCAAGUAAUUUAUUUGGCUGAUGAUUCCAGGAAAUACUGGGAAGGGAGUUAGGGAGACAGAAACCAGAAGAUAGAAACUAAAGGCCACUUCAUUGAACACAUCACAAUGAUCUUACAUAUCAAGGCUACUUUUUAGGUGCCCACACCAGCGAAGGAGCCAAGAGGUCAUUAGAACUCCAUUUUCCACUCUUGAUACUGCUCAUUGAAAACAUUCAUUCCUCUUCCAUUCCUUUACCGAUGAGAAGGCGAGGCUAUAGUGAGAUGGGGGUCUUCCUGUGCCACAUCACCAAGCACCAUCGCUACUGGGUCCCCACACACCUAUCCUGUACUAGCAGAGUCCAUAAGAGCACUGCAAAAGAUGAUACAUUUCAGUACGAGUGGGGCUCUCUCUCCUAGACGCCAUCUCUAACCCUUCUGAUAAGUGUUCUUUAGGUGGUUCUCACUCCAGUGGAGCAAUUCAGCAGAUAAAUCCAUCACAUUAGGUUCUUGCCCUUCAAAAUGGAAUCUCUUCAAAAAAG
rnacentral:lncRNA from 1 species